AUUCUGUAACUGAGUUUGUGUGUUUAUUUGCUUUCAUUCUCUUGGAUUGGUUAUAGUGUUUUUAUGGUAAGUGACUAAUAGGGGUGGUAUAGGAGUCCGAUUUAGUGGACGAUUCUACUUUUAGGAACAUUUGGUGUGGCAAAUUUUUGUUUUUUGUUUGACAAAGUUUCAGCACAAUAAGAGACAAAUCUUGAUUCUCAACUUUCAUGAAAGAUGAGUUUGGUCUAGUCUCUGUCACUCUGUUCCGUGAGGUAAAUGCAUCAAAAAGGGACAAAUUUUAGCAGACGGUGCUGCUAUAGCAAUAAAAAGGAUGCAGCAAGAGAACGGAUGCGCUAACGUGCAACGGCUUUCUAAAGCUCAAUCCACCACAGUUAAGUUCUUUAUUAAUAUCAAUGGGGAGCUGUGUGGUUUCUUUUUUUGGGGAGAAAGGCCUGAGGCAGGGUGACCAGAUGUCCUCCUAACAAAAUCAACUCCCAUCAAUCAGUUUGUCCCAUCAAAUCAACAGCCCCUUGUUGGCUGUUGGCCUGACCAGAUGAAUAAUCAUUUGCUUUCGGAAGAAAUUGAAGAAUUUCUUCGGAAUCCUACAAGAUCCAUUCAUUCUUUUUUCUCUGACAGAUGGUCAGAACUUCAUCUGGAUUGAAAUUCUUUUUAGAGGUACACUAGAGAUCAGAAAUUGUUGAAGAAAGAACAAGA